rnacentral:rRNA from 1 species
GCAAAUUGACACCGUAACUUCGGGAGAAGGUGUGCCGCUGGCGGUUAGUGACUUCGCGUCACGAAGCUGUCGGUGGUCGCAGUGAAAUGGCGGUUGUGACUGUUUACUAAAAACACAGGACUCUGCGAAGUCGUAAGACGACGUAUAGGGUCUGAUGCCUGCCCGGUGCUGGAAGGUUAAGGGGAUAUGUCAGCGCAAGCGAAGCAUUGAACCGAAGCCCCAGUAAACGGCGGCCGUAACCAUAACGGUCCUAAGGUAGCGAAAUUCCUUGUCGGGUAAGUUCCGACCUGCACGGGCAUAACAACAUCCGCACUGUCUCGACCAGGGACUCAGCGAAAUUACAUUGGGGGUGAAGAUGCCCUCUACCCGCGGAAAGACGGAAAGACCCCAUGAACCUUUACUGCAACUUGGCAGUGAUUUUCGGGUUGUUCUGCGUAGGAUAGGUGGGAGGCUUUGAAGCCGGGCUUCCGGGUUCGGCAGAGCCAACGUUGAAAUACCACCCUGAAUAAUCUGGAAAUCUAACCUGCGCCCAUGAUCUGGGCGAGGGACACUGCCUGGUGGGCAGUUUGACUGGGGCGGUCGCCUCCUAAAUUGUAACGGAGGCGUGCGACGGUUCCCUCAGGCUGAUUGGAAACCAGCCGUAGAGUGCAAACGCAUAAGGGAGCUUUACUGCGAGACUGACAAGUCGAACAGUUGCGAAAGCAGGUGUUAGUGAUCCGGUGGUACCACAUGGAAGGGCCAUCGCUCAUCGGAUAAAAGGUACUCUGGGGAUAACAGGCUGAUCGCGCCUGAGAGUUCACAUCGGCGGCGCGGUUUGGCACCUCGAUGUUGUCUCAUCGCAUCCUGGGGCUGGAGCAGGUCCCAAGGGUUUGGCUGUUCGCCAAUUAAAGCGGUACGCGAGCUGGGUUUAAAACGUCGUGAGACAGUUUGGUCCCUAUCUUCCGUGGGCGCAGGACACUUGAGAGGAGCUAUCCAUAGUACGAGAGGACCUGGAUGGACGAACCUCUGGUGCUCCGGUUGUCACGCCAGUGGCAUAGCCGGGUAGCCAUGUUCGGAACAGAUAACCGCUGAAGGCAUAUAAGCGGGAAGCUGGCCUCAAGACUAGGUGUCCCUGACGCAAGUCACUAAAGGCCCCUCGAAGACUACGAGGUUGAUAGGCUCGGUGUGGAAGCGCUGCGAGGCGUGGAGCUAACGAGUACUAAUAGGCCGUGCGACUUGACCUC